UACGUAGGGUGCAAGCGUUGUCCGGAAUUAUUGGGCGUAAAGAGCUCGUAGGCGGUCUGUCGCGUCGGCUGUGAAAACUCGGGGCUCAACUCCGAGCUUGCAGUCGAUACGGGCAGGCUAGAGUUCGGCAGGGGAGGACUGGAAUUCCUGGUGUAGCGGUGAAAUGCGUAGAUAUCAGGAGGAACACCGGUGGUGUAGACGGCUAUCUGGACCGUAACUGACGCUGAGGCACGAAAGCGUGGGUAGCAAACAGG
rnacentral:rRNA from 1 species